UGAACGCUGGCGGCAGGCCUAACACAUGCAAGUCGAGCGGAUGAAGGGAGCUUGCUCCUGGAUUCAGCGGCGGACGGGUGAGUAAUGCCUAGGAAUCUGCCUGGUAGUGGGGGAUAACGUCCGGAAACGGGCGCUAAUACCGCAUACGUCCUGAGGGAGAAAGUGGGGGAUCUUCGGACCUCACGCUAUCAGGUGAGCCUAGGUCGGAUUAGCUAGUUGGUGGGGUAAAGGCCUACCAAGGCGACGAUCCGUAACUGGUCUGAGAGGAUGAUCAGUCACACUGGAACUGAGACACGGUCCAGACUCCUACGGGAGGCAGCAGUGGGGAAUAUUGGACAAUGGGCGAAAGCCUGAUCCAGCCAUGCCGCGUGUGUGAAGAAGGUCUUCGGAUUGUAAAGCACUUUAAGUUGGGAGGAAGGGCAGUAAGUUAAUACCUUGCUGUUUUGACGUUACCAACAGAAUAAGCACCGGCUAACUUCGUG
rnacentral:rRNA from 1 species